AGCCUGAUGCAGCGACGCCGCGUGAGGGAUGACGGCCUUCGGGUUGUAAACCUCUUUCAGUAGGGAAGAAGCGAAAGUGACGGUACCUGCAGAAGAUGCGCCGGCUAACUACGUGCCAGCAGCCGCGGUAAUACGUAGGGCGCAAGCGUUAUCCGGAAUUAUUGGGCGUAAAGAGCUCGUAGGCGGUUUGUCGCGUCUGCCGUGAAAGUCCGGGGCUCAACUCCGGAUCUGCGGUGGGUACGGGCAGACUAGAGUGAUGUAGGGGAGACUGGAAUUCCUGGUGUAGCGGUGAAAUGCGCAGAUAUCAGGAGGAACACCGAUGGCGAAGGCAGGUCUCUGGGCAUUAACUGACGCUGAGGAGCGAAAGCAUGGGGAGCGAACAGGAUUAGAUACCCUGGUAGUCCAUGCCGUAAACGUUGGGCACUAGGUGUGGGGGACAUUCCACGUUUUCCGCGCCGUAGCUAACGCAUUAAGUGCCCCGCCUGGGGAGUACGGCCGCAAG
rnacentral:rRNA from 1 species